rnacentral:rRNA from 1 species
CCUACGGUGCGCAGCAGUGGGGAAUAUUGGACAAUGGGCGAAAGCCUGAUCCAGCCAUGCCGCGUGUGUGAAGAAGGCCUUCGGGUUGUAAAGCACUUUCAGUGGGGAAGAAAGCCUUGGGGCUAAUACCCUCGAGGAAGGACAUCACCCACAGAAGAAGCACCGGCUAACUCCGUGCCAGCAGCCGCGGUAAUACGGAGGGUGCGAGCGUUAAUCGGAAUUACUGGGCGUAAAGCGCGCGUAGGCGGUCUGAUAAGCCGGUUGUGAAAGCCCCGGGCUCAACCUGGGAACGGCAUCCGGAACUGUCAGGCUAGAGUGCAGGAGAGGAAGGUAGAAUUCACGGUGUAGCGGUGAAAUGCGUAGAGAUCGGGAGGAAUACCAGUGGCGAAGGCGGCCUUCUGGACUGACACUGACGCUGAGGUGCGAAAGCGUGGGUAGCAAACAGGAUUAGAUAACCCAGUAGUC